rnacentral:rRNA from 1 species
AACGAACGCUGGCGGCAUGCCUAACACAUGCAAGUCGAACGAGACCUUCGGGUCUAGUGGCGCACGGGUUCGUAACGCGUGGGAACCUGCCCUUAGGUUCGGAAUAACUCCCCGAAAGGGGUGCUAAUACCGGAUAAUGUCUUCGGACCAAAGAUUUAUCGCCUUUGGAUGGGCCGGCGUUGGAUUAGCUAGUUGGUAGGGUAAAAGCCUACCAAGGCGACGAUCCAUAGAUGGUCUGAGAGGAUGAUAAGCCACACUGGGACUGAGACACGGCCCAGACUACUACGGGAGGCAGCAGUGGGGAAUAUUGGACAAUGGGCGAAAGCCUGAUCAAGCAAUGCCGCGUGAGUGAUGAAGGCCUUAGGGUUGUAAAGCUCUUUUACCCGGGAUGAUAAUGACAGUACCGGGAGAAUAAGCUCCGGCUAACUCCGUG